rnacentral:rRNA from 1 species
GACGAACGCUGGCGGCGUGCUUAACACAUGCAAGUCGAACGGAAAGGCCCUGCUUUUGUGGGGUGCUCGAGUGGCGAACGGGUGAGUAACACGUGAGUAACCUGCCCUUGACUUUGGGAUAACUUCAGGAAACUGGGGCUAAUACCGGAUAGGAGCUCCUGCUGCAUGGUGGGGGUUGGAAAGUUUCGGCGGUUGGGGAUGGACUCGCGGCUUAUCAGCUUGUUGGUGGGGUAGUGGCUUACCAAGGCUUUGACGGGUAGCCGGCCUGAGAGGGUGACCGGCCACAUUGGGACUGAGAUACGACCCAGACUCCUACCGGAGGCAGCAGUGACGAAUAUUUCACAAUGGGCGGAAGCCUGAUGCAGCAACGCCGCGUGCGGGAUGACGGCCUUCGGGUUGUAAACCGCUUUCGCCUGUGACGAAGCGUGAGUGACGGUAAUGGGUAAAGAAGCACCGGCUAACUACGUG